rnacentral:rRNA from 1 species
UAGAACAGCACAUGCGGUUUUGCCGAGAACGGGUCGCGCAGGAUGCGGGUGUCGGGGCGCUCGGCCACGGUAUAGCCCGCGUUGAAGUUGCCAAAGGCCAUGGCCAUGGCAUCGGUGCCGAUGUCGGGCAUAUCCUCGGCGAUCAGCACCGGAUAGCCCAUCAGGCGCGACGGCUCACCGGCGGCCAUGCCGUCGGACCACAGGAACCGGCCCUCGAGAUCCUUGAUCUUACGCACCGUACCGGCGGUUUUCGAGUUCAUCACGAAGCUCGCACCGGCGCGAUAGUCGGCACCCAGCGCAUAGACCAGGUCGAUGAUCGCGUCAGCCGGGUUGGUGGCGUCGAAAUCGCCCGCGGUCCCGGUCGGGACAUAGCCCAGAUUGCCCCAGGUCCAGACCCCGUUGUCCACUGUGGUGUGGGUCAGGAUGCCCGUGGGCUUGUCCAAGCCAUCGCCGGAGAUGAACGCCGCGGCUUCCGCGCGGGCGAAUUUCUCGGCGAUCCGGCCUGCCAGCCAGUUCUCGACGUCAAAGGCGCUGUCAUCCAGCAGGCGCUGCGAGAUCUUCGGCAGCGCGGCCAGUUCGUGCAGCGGGAUCGAGAUACGGUCAAUCGUGGGCGUGCCGGUCUCGGCGGAGGCGGUGGUUUCAUCCGCCCAGCCCGAACCAAGGUCCGACUGGUCGAUCAGAACGUCAUAGGCGGUGGCCUCGACAUUGACGACAUUGGCAACGGCACGGAUCGAGGCGGUUGAAUUCAUCACGCUCUUGAUCGUGUCGGCGGUCUGCGGAUCGACCAGAUAGCCA